GAGCAUAUAGCUCAGUGGUAGAGCACAUGCUUAGCAUACACAAGGUCCUGGGUUCAAUCCCCAGUACCUCA
rnacentral:tRNA from 1 species